GACGCACCGUGCGAACGUUGUUCGGAAUCACUGGGCUUAAAGGGCGCGUAGGCGGGCUCGCAAGUCAGGGGUGAAAGCCCCGGGCUCAGCCCGGGAAGUGCGCUCGAAACUGCGCGGCUCGAGUGCCGGAGGGGAGAGUGGAAUUCCUGGUGUAGCGGUGAAAUGCGUAGAUAUCAGGAGGAAUACCGGUGGCGAAAGCGACUCUCUGGACGGCAACUGACGCUGAGGCACGAAAGCGUGGGGAGCAAACAGG
rnacentral:rRNA from 1 species